CCCUGACCCUCCGUCAGAGCGUGUUGUCCCUCAGGUUUUAGGUUAUUUUCUUCUGUUGUUUAAAUUGUUCAUAGAGUAGUUUUUUCUACAUUCCUUGUUUACAAUGUUUAUAUUGCUUUUUGGUACUUAAGCUCUAGUGUUCAGUUUCAAACUUGUUGAGCAAGCUGUUUCAAACCAGCAGUCUGUCAUAACUUUAAAACACACCAACAUUAGUUGUCAAUAUGUAUGCUGCUCUGGAAAUCAAAACAAACCACUGUAGGCAGAUGUAGGCAGAUAAGUCAUUGCUCUAAGUGUUAAAAAAAACUAACUCAUAUUCAAUUUCUGACCUGCCAAGCAAGCUGUUUCAAAUUAGCACUCAACCGUUACUUAAAAUCAAACAACAUUUUGAUCACUUCAGUAUGGGCUCUGUAACUUUUACAGAUACCAUAAGCCUGAAUCAAGUCUGACAGUUCCUGAAGCCCAGUACCGGGAAUCAGGUUCUGCUACUUGGUCUCAUGGUUUCACACUAACCCUGACCCUCCAUCAGAGCGUGUUGUCCCUCAGGUUUUAGGUUAUUUUCUUCUGUUGUGUAAAUGGUUCAUAGAGUAUUUUUUCUACAUUCCUUGUUUAUAAUGUUUAUAUUGCUUGUUGGUACUUUACUUCUAGUGUUCAGUUCUGUAACUUUUAUAGAUACGAUACGCCUGGAUCAAGUCUGACAGUUCCUGAGGCCCAGUCCCGGGAGUCAGGUUCUGCUACUUGGUCUCAUGGUUUCACACUACCGCUGAUCCUCCAUCAGAGCGUGUUGUCCCUCAGGUUUUAGGUUAUUUUCUUCUGUUGUUUAAAUAAUUCAUAGAGUAGCUUUUUCUACAUUCCUUGUUUAUAAUGUUUAUAUUGCUUUUUGGUACCUUAGUUCUAGUGUUCAGUUCUGUAACUUUUAUAGAUACCAUACGCCUGGAUCAAGACUGACAGUUCCUGAGGCCCAGUACCGGGAAUCAGGUUCUGCUACUUGGUCUCAUGGUUUCACGCUAACCCUGACCCUCCGUCAGAGCGUGUUGUCCCUCAGGUUUUAGGUUAUAUUCUUCUGUUGUUUAAAUGGUUCAUAGAGUAUUUUUUCUACAUUCCUGGUUUAUAAUGUUUAUAUUGCUUUUUGGUACUUUAGUUCUAGUGUUCAGUUUCAAACUUGUUGAGCAAGCUGUUUCAAACCAGCAGUCUGUCAUAACUUUAAAACACACCAACAUUAGUUGUCAAUAUGUAUGCUGCUCUGGAAAUCAAAACAAACCACUGUAGGCAGAUGUAGGCAGAUAAAUCAUUGCUCUAAGUGUUAAAAAAAACUUUAAAAAAAUUUCUGACCUGCCAAGCAAGCUGUUUCAAAUUAGCACUCAACCGUUACUUAAAAUCAAACAACAUUUUGAUCACUUCAGUAUGGGCUCUGUAACUUUUACAGAUACCAUAAGCCUGAAUCAAGUCUGACAGUUCCUGAGGCCCAGUACCGGGAGUCAGGUUCUGCUACUUGGUCACAUGGUUUCACACAACCUAAUAAGCAAGCUAUUUCAACUUAGCAGUCAACCCUUACUUGAAAUCACACAACAUUUUUAUCACUUCGCUAUGGGCUCCAUAACUUUUAUAGUACAAAUAACUAUAUGGACAAUACACUUCUGCACAAUAAUUUUAUGGAGGUAUGGUUUCUUCAAGCCCAGGGUGUGUAGCCCAGUACCGGGAAACACCCCAGGGAUAAGGAGAAUUAAUUACCUCCCAUUUCUGCAAUUAUCCCCCUCUCGCACCCCCAGCUGCAAAACUGUUUCUCUUUACACUGUUUAACCUGUUUUUAUGGGCAAGACAUUACAGUGCACUUGGUGUAUGAAGGUAUAUUUCUCAGACCCAGAGUGUGUGGCCCAGUACCGGGAGACCCUCUGGGAUGAGGAGUAUUAUCUCCAUUGUGAAAUGCUCUCCAAACUGCUACUACAAUGUUUCUAGACAUCAGUCACCUGUUACUUUGAAUCACACCUAAAUUGACUGUUGACAUGUAUUCUGCUCUACAAAACCAAACAAAAACUGUAGACAGACCACUCAUUGCUCGUAGUGUUAAAAAAAACUAUAUAUAUGAUAAUAUUCGCUGUGUGACCUUCUCAGCUGGCUGUUUCAAGCCAGUAGUCCGCCACUAGGUUAAAUCAUACCAACACUGCAAUCACACUAAUGUCCUUUUAUUAAUACAAAACAAAAGCAAUCUCAUAAUGCUUGGUUGUCACUUUAACUAACUUUUCCCAGCCUCUUUUUGGAAGAGAGCAGUCUUUUUCUAACUGUAUUGCAGGUCUGCCAAGCCCCUCUGUGACAGCCUGGAUCAGCCACACCCGCACUUCAUCCAUAGAGCUCAGCUUGUCCAUGUACGAAGACGCCUUGCAGGUUUGAAAUGUAAUGUCAAGUUGUACAAAUUAUUGUGUAUACAUGUCACUGCUAAGUCUAGUCCUCACAGCCCCAGUCAGUUGGUCAGAGGAAGGAUGGCAACUUCUCCAGUGGGCACAAAAAUGAAGGACGUGACACGCUCCAGACCAAGAAGACCAAUGGGCAACUGUCAGGAAGACCCCAGCCACCGAAACAUUGAGCAUCUGCAUAGGACAUGAGCACACAGGCACGGCAGCCGAGGAGACUGAAGAUGGCCAGGCAGAUCAAUGGCACCCCUGCUGAGGAAUCAAAGCAGCAACAAAUGAAAAAGUUCAGAUACUGCAGAAGACUCAAGAAGAAAACAACCAAAGAAAGGAACAAGAGCUCCACUGAGGACAUGUUAGUUUUGUGGCACAGAUUUCAAUUGGUCCUGUGCACAAUCAUAGUGAGUGGACAUUGUUCCAUCCCCAGUUAGGUUUAAGAGCGGGUUCCCUUUGGAACUCGUUUGGGGGGGGGUGUUAGUGUGGCAUGAACGUGGUUAGAGCAUUUGUCUCGGGAGCACAUCCGAAGCUACAGGUGGGUCACCAUUUUAUGGUUGCUUUACCAGGCUAUCGGGCUACAGUGCAUAAGUACCCGCCACAAGUAGCGCCUGAAGACUAGGGAGGAGCUUAGUUAGAUUUCAGUGUGUUGCUCUUCUACUGUAAAUAAAUGUUGUUCCUCACAAAACAUUUGGUGUUUCAGCAGUC